rnacentral:rRNA from 1 species
CCUACGGGUGGCAGCAGUGGGGAAUAUUGCACAAUGGGGGAAACCCGGAUGCAGCAACGCCGCGUGAGUGAAGAAGGAUCGCGGUAGGGAAAGCUCGAACAGCAGGGAAGAAAAUGACGGUACCUGACUAAGAAGCCCCGGCUAACGCCGUCCCAGCAGCCGCGGUAACACGCAGGGGGCAAGCGUUAUCCGGAUUUACUGGGUGUAAAGGGAGCGGAGACGGUGUGGCAAGUCUGAAGUGAAAGCCCGGGGCUCCACCCCGGGACUGCUUUGGAAACUUUCAUGCUGGAGUGCUGGAGAGGUAAGCGGAAUUCCUAGUGUCGCGGUGAAAUGCGUAGAUAUUAGGAGGAACCCCAGUGGCGAAGGCGGCUUACUGGACCGUAACUGACGUUGAGGCUC